UUUAUGCAACGGUUAAUUUUGCGCAGCGAUUAAGAAGGGAUCGGGAUCGGGAUUGGGAGAGAGAUAGGUUGGAUUUGGUCUCGUGAUUGAUUUAUGUAUAAUUAUUUGGGGUGUGUGUGCGCGUUUGUUUCCCCCCCUUUCCCUCCCCCCCUACGAAUUUGACUAAAUUAGAGUUGUGUGUGUAAGUUUGUACGAGACUAUUAUCUAACGUUAUUUUCUUGAACUGAGAAAUAAUGGAAAGUAGAUGAAUUUGAGACUUGAUGGGGGGGAUUUUUGCAAUCCUUGUUGUGGAUAGCAAUUAUCCUCUUUUGUCCUCUAGCUGCAUUUGACCGCUCUACAAGGCGGCCUUGUGUGGUUUUCUCCCUUGAACAAAAUUACAAAAGUUUGGGUGCUUUCUGUUAAAUUUGGUAUUUUUUUUUAUAAAAUUUAUUUGGUGGUUUUGAAGAAGGAAAGAGAGACACCUACUCCUGUUACUUUCUUCCCAAGCUUUUGUAAUCUUGUGACAGCUAGUUUGUAUAAUAAAGCGCGGGUUGAUUGGUGAUUAAUGAACGAUCAUGUGAUUAGUGUUAGUUAAUCCCGAGCUCAGCUCUUUUAAUCUGGAGCUGCUGAUAAGGAAUCUUAUAUAGGGCCGGCCUAGGGAGUGGGGUGCAUUAUUGAGGGGAAGCGGACAAAGAGAAAGCCGAAAUAAUGGGUGGUGUGCGUAAGUUGAAGAAAGGGACAUCCUCCUUUUUUGUGUAGAAAACAAAGGCAAAAGGAGGGGAGCGGGUUUUGGGUUUUAGCGGCGGAUUUGGAGUUUUGCGCCCGUUAAGGACAGAGGAAGGGACGGAAAGGGACUGGUUUCUCGCUUGAGGAGAGCGUGAUGGUUCUCUCUUGGGCUACAAGGAAUUUGUGGACGAGAGCGCCUGAGCUUUUGAGGGGUUGAUUAGCUGCACCCAUGGUUCCUUUGAAUAGAAAAGUAAAAGCACCAAGCAAAAAGAGAGAGAGAGAAAAUAAACAAUACCCAUAUUUUUAAUUAUUAAAGAAAUAUAUUGGCUUUUGAAAGCACUUCAUUUUGGCCCACCGCCGGUGAUCCGGGCGGUUGGAAAGUUUUAACUACUCUCACCUUCCUAGAUUAGAUUUCAUGCUGAAUUAUCAUUUAAGAGCCCGUUUGGUUUUCAUUUUUGAGUCGCGAAAAACUCUUUCCUCCUUCUGUCAACCGCGCCACCUCGACAAAACCCAUUCUAGGGUUUUCUUUUCUCUGCUUUGGUUCGCUUCUUCCCCUCGUCCCUCCAACCGCAGAAAUCUCCUCCACCUCAGCUCUUCGUCUUUCCCUCAUUUCCUUCGAAAACGAGAGAAAAUCACCGAAAAUCUGUACUCUUGUCAUAUCUGCAGUUUUUUGGGGAAAAACUUGUUGAGGGUUAGGGUCACCACCGCUUUCCCUCGCUUUUUUCACUCUUCACGCUAUGAUUUCUCUCUGAUGCCUGCGGGAGUUCUAAAUUGUUGAUUCCGUGCUUGAUUUUCAUAUUUAUCAAGCCUCAGUUCCUCAAAUUCGUUGUUUUUACUGGAUCUUGCUAAAAAGGUACCGCCUUUAUUAGGAAAUUUCGUGUUUUUUUGUUGGAUCUUGCCGGAUCUUGCUAUACUUCAGAUCUAAGGUUAUGCCUGACAUGAGUUUUGUAGCGUUGAACUAUUUAAAUCAGUGGCUUUGCAGCUUCAAAAAAUUGUGACUUUCUUGCGAGAACUGAGAAGGAUAAUCUUGAGUGGUGCUUCCUGUCAAAAACAGUAUCAGAGUAAAAUCAACAAUAAUAUUCAAAGAGAUACUCAAGACACAAGGCAAUACAAGGCAAUUGAAGUUGAUACAAGGCUAAUUGGAGAUGAAAUAAAUCAAGAUGCUUCAAUAAUAUAAUUGUAUUUUGGGAUUUCUUUCAUUGGGUAGAAUCUUUGUUAAAAGCCAUGAUCACACACACUAAACAUACACGCGCAUAGUAUUUAGAACAUACUAACACAUGAUUAGUGUGUGGUUAACUAUAGAAAUCCCCUAAGGGCUUGUUUGGAUUGAGAGGAACAAGAGAGAAGGGAAGUUAGGGGAACUAUUCACCUUGUUUGGGAACAUUUAGGAGGUGAAGUUAUUCACCCUAGUUCCCCUUAGUUCACCCCUUAAUAGUAUACAAUUUGUUACCUCCCAAAUUGGGGUGUAACCAUAGGGAAGGGAACUCUCUUUCCUUUCCUUCUCUUCUCUUCUCU